rnacentral:misc_RNA from 1 species
GUGUUCUGUUCCACUAUUUAUUCUCAAGCCUCAUAUCUGCCAUCUAUUUUCAACCAAUACCAAUCAAAUCACAUACAUGACCAAACAACCCAACAUAAGAUCUCUAUUUCUGACCAUUAAUUAAGUCAUGCAUCUUAGCAUCCCCACAAUAUCUGCAUUCCAAUAUAUUUAGAUGCAAUCGACUUGAUUACCCACUGUCCAUCUUCCUUGAACAUGUAAAUAUGAGUUGAAUACAUGUCCUUCCAACAUGUCAUUUUCUUUAUUUUUAUUUGUUCUCUUCAACAUCCCAGCAGAGGAACAGACAAAUGCAUGCAGGAUAUGAAGUCUAGCAGUUCCAGCACGUAAAAAG